rnacentral:rRNA from 1 species
UUCCCCCACACUGGGAUUGAGACACGCCCCAGACUCCUACGGGAGGCAGCAGUGGGGAAUUUUGGACAAUGGGGGCAACCCUGAUCCAGCCAUGCCGCGUGAGUGAAGAAGCCCUUCGGGUUGUAAAGCUCUUUCAGGUGAAAAGAAUUCUCCCGGGUGAAUACCCUGGGAGGAUGACGGUACCAUCAGAAGAAGCACCGGCUAACUACGUGCCAGCAGCCGCGGUAAUACGUAGGGUGCGAGCGUUAAUCGGAAUUACUGGGCGUAAAGCGUGCGCAGGCGGUUGUGUAAGACAGAUGUGAAAUCCCCGGGCUCAACCUGGGAACUGCGUUUGUGACUGCACAACUAGAGUACGGCAGAGGGAGGUGGAAUUCCGCGUGUAGCAGUGAAAUGCGUAGAGAUGCGGAGGAACACCGAUGGCGAAGGCAGCCUCCUGGGCCAGUACUGACGCUCAUGCACGAAAGCGUGGGGAGCAAACAGGAUUAGAUACCCUGGUAGUCCACGCCCUAAACGAUGUCAACUAGUUGUUCGGUGAGGAGACUCAUUGAGUAACGCAGCUAACGCGUGGA